GAUGAACGCUAGCGGCAGGCCUAAUACAUGCAAGUCGAGGGGUAUAUGGAGCUUGCUCCAUAGAGACCGGCGCACGGGUGCGUAACGCGUAUGCAACCUACCUUUACCUGGGGGAUAGCCCGGAGAAAUCCGGAUUAAUACCGCAUAAAACCACAGAUCCGCAUGGGUCAAUGGUCAAACAUUCAUGGGGGAGAGAUGGGCAUGCGUGCCAUUAGUUAGUUGGCGGGGUAACGGCCCACCAAGACCGCGAUGGCUAGGGGAUCUGAGAGGAUGGCCCCCCACACUGGUACUGAGACACGGACCAGACUCCUACGGGAGGCAGCAGUAAGGAAUAUUGGUCAAUGGGCGCAAGCCUGAACCAGCCAUGCCGCGUGCAGGAAGACGGCCCUCUGGGUUGUAAACUGCUUUUAUUCGGGAAUAAACCUGUGUACGUGUACGCAGCUGAAUGUACCGAAGGAAUAAGGAUCGGCUAACUCCGUGCCAGCAGCCGCAGUAAGAC
rnacentral:rRNA from 1 species